rnacentral:rRNA from 1 species
GGAGUCUAGCAUGUGCGCGAGUCAUUGGGAACGUUGCGAAACCUAGAGGCGCAAUGAAAGUGAAGACUGAGGGCGGCCGCGGCGGCGGCGGCGACUACCCGUCGUCGUCGUCGUCGUCGUCGUCCUCGCUAAGAGUUCAGGGAGGAUGGGUCCGGCAAAGUCGUCCGGACCUCGCACUCCCGGGGCGUCUCGUUCUCCCGCCGUCGACGUCGUCGUCGUGUCGUGUCAAAGCGUGCGGCGGCGGCGGUGGCGGCGAUGAGAUGAGGCGCACCCAGAGCGUACACGCUGGGACCCGAAAGAUGGUGAACUAUGCCUGGUCAGGACGAAGUCAGGGGAAACCCUGAUGGAGGUCCGUAGCGAUUCUGACGUGCAAAUCGAUCGUAAGAACUGGGUAUAGGGGCGAAAGACUAAUCGAACCGUCUAGUAGCUGGUUCCCUCCGAAGUUUCCCUCAGGAUAGCUGGCGCUCGUUGCUUCCCCGGGGCGGAUUCGAGUUCUCUCUUCUCCGUCUCGCGGGCGCGCGAGUCUCAUCUGGUAAAGCGAAUGAUUAGAGGCAUUGGGGUCGAAACGGCCUCAACCUAUUCUCAAACUUUAAAUGGGUGAGAUCUCCGGCUUGCUUGAAACUAAUAAUGUGAAGCCGCGAGAUCGGAUCAGAGUGCCAAGUGGGCCAAUUUUGGUAAGCAGAACUGGCGCUGUGGGAUGAACCAAACGUUGAGUUAAAGCGCCUAAAUCGACGCUUAUGGGAUACCAUGAAAGGCGUUGGUAACUUAAGACAGCAGGACGGUGGCCAUGGAA